UACGUAGGGUGCGAGCGUUAAUCGGAAUUACUGGGCGUAAAGCGUGCGCAGGCGGUUUUGUAAGUCUGUCGUGAAAGCCCCCGGGCUCAACCUGGGAAUUGCGAUGGAGACUGCAAGGCUUGAAUCUGGCAGAGGGGGGUAGAAUUCCACGGUGUAGCAGUGAAAUGCGUAGAGGUGUGGAGGAACACCGAUGGCGAAGGCGAGCCCC
rnacentral:rRNA from 1 species